rnacentral:rRNA from 1 species
UACGGAGGAUCCGAGCGUUAUCCGGAUUUAUUGGGUUUAAAGGGUGCGCAGGCGGGAGAUUAAGUCGGCGGUGAAAUUUUGCAGCUCAACUGUAAAAGUGCCUUCGAAACUGGUUUCCUUGAGUGUAGAUGAAGUAGGCGGAAUUUGCGGUGUAGCGGUGAAAUGCAUAGAUAUCACGAGGAACUCCGAUUGCGCAGGCAGCUUACUAAACUACUACUGACGCUCAAGCACGAAGGCGUGGGGAUCAAACAGGAUUAGAUACCCUGGUA